GCCGGGUGUGAUGGCUCACGCCUGUAAUCCCAGCACUUUGGGAGGCCGAGACGGGUGGAUCACCUGAGGUCGGGAGUUCAAGACCAGCCUGGCCAACAUGGUGAAACCCUGUCUCUA
rnacentral:SRP_RNA from 1 species